GCUUCAAACAGACCUCGCGGACAAACUUGAAGUCUUUGAAGUGGAGCUUGAUCUUCCGAACAAAGACACUUUCAGCUCCGCCAGACUUCUGCCACGGGAACCUGAGCCAUAUUUCCCGGAGCUGCCUGAUGAUAAGCCGGGAAUCAAACCCCUGGAGGAAACAGUAUACCAGCAGCGUCAGACACUUCAUGGUUAAAGCCCCUGCCUUGCUGCCUCCUCCCCACUGCGGCGAAGCGAUCCCAUUGGAGGACUGCAA